UUGUAUAAAAUUCAGUCCCAUUGUACCCCUGAGGAUUUCUUUCUUAUUGUGCUGUGGUAACCUGGUUGGUCAUCACUCCAUUUCAUAUUGAAUAAUAAAAAUGGAAACAAUUCCAGAGUAGUCAUUCCACAUUUCACUUGUACAGCUAAUACAUUUUCUCUCUCCAUGUAUGUUAUUUCCUAUAAAUGACAAGGAUAUCCUGUCAGUGGCAAGGGAAAAAGUUUUACUUUAUUACUGAACUACCCACACGGAAACAUGAAUAAUUCCGAGGGAGGUCAGCAAUUUGUCAGAGCGCCAAAAUUUAAAACUCAGAGGCAUGAACAGCUGUGCGUACAGUAUAUGUCAGGCUGUGUUAUAAAAUAGAACAUCUCAAAACGCCGUGGGAUCAAUUCUGGUUACACACGGCUCUACACUUAUCCUUUCUAUGUGGUGGUUGCCUUUGUCUAGGCUCAAAAGCUUCUGAGUGGUAGAGUCACUAAGAAUGUAGAGCAAGAGUGAGCGGAAGGUAUCAACUUAUGCAUAAAACAGAGAGCGACAGCAUGCUUGGAUUAUUUUCGAUGGAACACACAUUGCCCGCUUCCGAUUCGGCUCGGUUGAGUUAUCUUUUAUCUGCUGUACACAGACAACAAUAUAACACUUACAUAUAUAUCAAUUCCACGCCUGAGUCAAGCCGCCUGACAUUUUGUAGACAUGAGAUAAAACAAGACCUUUUCCAAAGUCAUCGUGUAACAGGUGACAUAUCUCAGAAAUGCAGUGGUCUUGUUUCAACUUGUGUUUUUUUUCCUGUGUGUGUAGUUUUGUGUGAUCCCUUCAUCCUGCUAACUCUCCACCUGCACUUUGAUGUCCAUCCCGUUGCCGUACCUCCUUGAAAAUGGAAGGAAGCUGUGAUGGUGCUAUCAGCAAACAACAUGCGUUUUGGCUUGGCCUCCCCCCCUGCUCUGUUUGGAGCUCACACUCAAAAAAAUACUCUUAAUUUUGUGACAUUUACACCAGCACACCUGAGUUAUGGAUUCUCCUAAAAUGUCAAGGUCGAUGGCAAGUGAGUUUGAGUGAGUCAUCAGCCAACAAGCAGAUACUCGCUUUGCGGGUUUAGUUUCUCGCAAAAAUCUGUUAUGAAGGUUUGAAGUGCCAGGAGGAUAAUAUUUCACUAAUGUGCAUGCCCAAACUGCACAUAAAGAGCAGAUACAAGUCAGCCACACAUGGCGCCUCGUAUCAGACAGGGUCAGGGUGGAUUUCCCUGGUGUCAAAAACAAAGCCCAGGGGCCAGAUACGUUCCGCCACAUCAUUUUAUGUGGCCCGCGAAGACAAAUUGUGCAUCAAAUUCGUGUGUCAUUACUAGAAUUGCAAAUUGUCUUCACUUUUAAUAAUAUAUAUAUAUAUUUUUAAAUAUUUGACCAGUUUUUACUUGUCUGAUUUGAGUUAUUAGUUUGUUUUGUAGCUUUUACUGUAUAUAAUAUGAGGUGCUCAUACAUUUAUUUGGGUUGACAGUCAUAAUGGACCUCCGAAAGAAGCGAUGACUACAAUGCGGCCCGCGAAAAAAACGAGUUGGACACCCCUGGUGUAUUUGAUCAAGAACAGAAUUGAAAGAAUCAAAAUCUCAACCUAAUAAAAAAUUGUUGUUCGAUUCGACGAGUGAUACAAUCAAUUUUAGGCUUGAUAGUGGUAACAUUUUAUUGGUUGUCAAACAUUGUUUCGUUAUUUUAACGCUUAGGCCAAAGCAAUAUCGAAGAUCAAAGUAUGACUCAGGCACCAUUUUGUGGCAUAUUGUUGCCAAGGAGUUGUUAACGUCAUUGUGUAGUUGCCUUGGCGCAAUCAUAAUGCAUCUGCAGGCAAUUAUACACGCUUUUAUUAUUUGCAGGUUUUCAAUUUUUAUGUCAGCAGGGUUCGGUCACUAUCCUUGCGAAUGACAGGAGAGCAUUGUAAAGGCUUAAUUCUAUUCAAUUGUGGUUGUGUGAGGGGAAACCAUUGUAUUUAAUAUGCGAUGACAGAUCAUUUCAAAGGAUAAAUUAUAUUUCUGCAGAUGAGGGUUCAUUGCAGUCCCAUGCACAGGAACUUAACACAAUUCCUCUGUCAUAACAUCGAGUGUGGCAAUCCCCAUUACACCCAAUUAAGAAAAUAUGACAUGUCCGCCACCGCAUAUUCUCCAAAACACGAGGUAUCUUAAUGUCCUUAAGUGCCACAUUUUUUUAUUUGUCUUCUUCUUGGUAAUGAGAUGUUUUGAAACAUUCACCAGAUGGGAAAUAUGUGGGAGGAACUCACUUGGAAAAAGGACCAAUCGGAAGCGCACAUGAAUGCCGAGAGGCCACAAUAGAGGUUGCGUAGGAAAAAAAUAACGAGCUCUUUUCAUGUUGUUUUGCGUCAUCUUGCUCCCUUUCGCCUUUUCUAGGUCAUAAAUUCACAGUUUUUCUAAGAUACGACCCUGUAAAGAUAAUCAGAUGCGUAUAAUCUUUGACCAGCUAAGAUAGGCACAUUUAGGACACGUUUGGAAGUAGCAACAGUGGGUGCAUAGCAACAUCUUCCAUCUCCACCCCAAUGCUGAGUGAUUAAAGAGCAACUUCUCCUACUUAAUAAGUGACUAAUCCUCAUGCCCUUUUGCUCUGUCAGUUCAAACAGAUGACCCAGCAAGCCCGGGAGAUUCAUCAAGGUAAAAACACUAACUGAGAUAAGAGAGACUGCUGAAACGGAUGUGCUGAGAGCUCCAUGACGAGAAAAGGAUUUCAUUGGCGUCACACAGUGCCGCCACAAACCUUCCAACCCUUCGAGCGAAACAGCAGGACGUUUGCCUUGCAAGCUUGCUGAUUUCAUCAGAGCUAUCAGGAGGAAGAAAAUAGAGCAAGAACCAGGCAUUGACCGUGGAGGGAAGAAGAGAGAGCUGUCAUGUUAUAAAGCUGCAGAAGGUGUUUCGUUUGGGCCUCAAGCUCUCGUCCUCACCACGGUGUCCUCAUUAGGGCUAAAAUGAGGCUGGUAGCAGUGGGCUGUCUGGAGAUCUCAAGGGAGUAAUGAUGUGGGGCCUGUGGCCAAGGGCCCCAGGGGGGACUUUUGUUGGGGCUGAUUCCUUACUACUUAUGUAGAAGCUACAGAGGUCACACGCAUUUUCAUGAUGCUCCAAUUGCCCUUGGGAGGACAAAUGGAGGCAGAGGAGGGAGUGUUUGCCCCCACAUUGGUCUCCAAGCCCAACCCACCUCGGCCCACCACAACUAUUGCAUCUCUUCCCUUUCCCCAUAAUCAUUUCUCCCUCGGUUCUUCCUUCCACCCCCUCGGGUGCAUUGGUCCAGUCUCGGUUCAACCCAGAUAUAAUCCUUUAACGCCUUUAAAUGAUCCAGAGGUUGAGUGCUCCUGCUGGAUGCCAACGGGACCUGCUGGGCUCACACCUGCUGAAGCAGGUUAAGAUAAAUGCCAGUAGCCACUCGGGCAUCUGGCCCUGCAUUAAUAUUUAACAGUCCGACUCUCAUCUCGUCCACGCUGAAGGUGUGAAGGUGCCAACCCCCCCGAAGACAUAUCACAGCUUAAUAUGGAAUUGUUCAAACAGGAAAGGAAAUGGAAGAGCGGGGAUGGCAUAGUGAGCAUGAAAUCUCAUGUUAAGUAUGUGGCUGUCAAGUAGCAAGGUGAACUUUAUUCUGGGAGAAAUAUGCAUAAUGUUAAAAAAGCUAUUCAGCUCUCAUUUAUUUACUGAUGAUAUGAGAUGACUGAUUUGUCAUGAUGUGCCGAGUUUUAUCUUCAUGCUUUUCUUUUCAGCGGUGUGACUGUCAGUGUCAAGAACAAAAAAAAAAACAUGCCAAGCAAAAACCAGCAAACAAUCUAAUCUGACAG